UACGUAGGAUGCAAGCGUUGUUCGGAUUUACUGGGCGUAAAGGGCGCGUAGGCGGCCCUGCAAGUCAGUUGUGAAAUCUCCGGGCUUAACCCGGAAAGGUCAACUGAUACUGCAGGGCUAGAGUGCAGAAGGGGCAACUGGAAUUCUCGGUGUAGCGGUGAAAUGCGUAGAUAUCGAGAGGAACACCUGCGGCGAAGGCGGGUUGCUGGGCCGACACUGACGCUGAUGCGCGAAAGCCAGGGGAGCGAACGGG
rnacentral:rRNA from 1 species